UGGGUGACCUGCCCUCAGCUCUGGGAUAAGCCCGGGAAACUGGGUCUAAUACCGGAUACGACCUCCGCGGGCAUCUGCGGAGGUGGAAAGGUUUUCCGGCUGAGGAUGGGCCCGCGGCCUAUCAGCUAGUUGGUGGGGUGAUGGCCCACCAAGGCGACGACGGGUAGCCGGCCUGAGAGGGCGACCGGCCACACUGGGACUGAGACACCGGCCCAGACCUCCGUACGGGAGGCA
rnacentral:rRNA from 1 species